GGCCAGAGUCAACUUGUCAGAAGCAGGAAUGUUUAUUGGUUUUGGCUGCUAAGGCUGUGGCUAUCUGGAAGGAGAGUUUACCUGGUCAUAUGCAGGUAUAAAUCUAACUAAAUGUGGUGUUGGAGAGAGAUGGACUAUAUAGGUGAAUGAAGACUAUGGAACCAGGAAGGAUACCUCUUCUAGCAAAUGGGUAUUAUUGAAAUCUGAGAGGUACAUUCAAGAACUAAACUGGCACUUUUUUCCCUAAUAAAGCUGGCUUUGCUUCAGAAGCAAUGGCUAUUUUUGAAUGACUAAAGAUU